CAGGCCAGGACCAAGCCCUGAAUGCAGCCCAGCUCUGCCAAGUGCCCUGGGCUGUGAGCAGCCCAAGGCAAGAGGCUGCAGCCCCGCCGGCCGGCGCUGGGGGCUCCUGGUGCUGCCCGUGGGCUGGGAUGCUGGAAUUGCCUCUCUGGGUGUGUGCUGAGCUCUGGCUGCAGGGGACUGUCAGGCCUUGGUGGCUUUCUUCUCUUUCUACCUUUGAAUGUACAGCCUCCUUGCAGCUCCCAGCUGAGGAAACCUGGGAUAACUUAGGAGGGACAGAGGUGACAUUUUUAUCUGCAAACUUGGGGUAAUUUCUAGGGGAUACAGCAACUGUUUGUGUAGGAAAGUGUGUUUAACCACAUUGGCCCCAGUUGUGUUUGCACCAGCUGGGGCCAGAGGUGCAAGGCAAUCCAAAGCAAACCCUGCUCAGCCUCCAAAUCCCAGGGGAAGUUCUCCAAGCUGCUCACUGAGGGACUAAAGAUACAUUAAAACAGAACCAAGAGCACUAAUAAGGAUCUUGGGAAUCCCAGUAUUGUUGUCCUAGAAUUUUUAACAGGUUUUUAAACUUUUUAUGACAAGAAUGGCUUUCUUCCUUUGAUUGAAUCCUGCGGUAGGAUUUGGGAUUUCUUGGGAUUCCGAAUCCCUCCCAAUGGCCCUGACACUGAUCAGGAACUUGCAGGACAAACAGAGUCAGAGCUCCUGGCAGGCACAGGGGCUUUCCCCCAGAGUGGAUCCAACUGCUGCCCCCCAGCCUGGCCAGGAGGGAUCUGCUUUGGCUCCUGGCUUCUGCCAGAGACAGAAUGUGUUCCAUUGAUUGGAAUGAGGAUCCAGUAGCUUCAUCUCCUGGAGGUUCCCUGGGCAGCUGAUCCACUCUGCCCCGUGUCCUGCUCUCAGUUGCUGCCCAGCCAGAGCCAACUGUGCCAAGGGCACGAGCACUCACAGCCUGGAUAGGGAAUGGGGGACUGCCUUGUGUACAAUUCACCUAGAAAGUCAAACGAGGGGAUUGUUGGACUAUCUGGCUCCUUAGGGAACCUGCUGGGAGUAGAGAAGCACAACCCCAAAUCUCCAGCUGUGGGUGGAGUCGUGGAACGUAAACCAGCACAAAUGGAUUCCCCAAAAUGAACC